rnacentral:rRNA from 1 species
UGAGGAAUAUUGGGCAAUGGGGGCAACCCUGACCCAGCGAUGCCGCGUGCGGGAGGACGCCUUUCGGGGUGUAAACCGCUUUUCUGGCUGAAGAGGAAGGACGGUAGGUCAGGAAUAAGUCACGGCUAACUACGUGCCAGCAGCCGCGGUAAUACGUAGGUGGCGAACGUUAUCCGGAAUUACUGGGCGUAAAGGGUCCGCAGGUGGGGUACCAAGUCUUUUGUGAAAGCCCCCGGCUCAACCGGGGGAGGACGAGGGAAACUGGUAGUCUGGAGUCCGACAGAGGUCGGCGGAAUUCCCGGUGUAGUGGUGGAAUGCGUAGAGAUCGGGAGGAACGCCAAACGCGAAAGCAGCCGGCUGGGUCGAGACUGACACUGAGGGACGAAAGCGUGGGGAGCGAACAGGAUUAGAUACCCCCGUAGUCC